rnacentral:rRNA from 1 species
CCUACGGGUGGCAGCAGUGGGGAAUAUUGGGCAAUGGAGGAAACUCUGACCCAGCAAUGCCGCGUGAAUGAAGAAUGUCUUCUGAUUGUAAAGUUCUUUAUUCAGGGAAGAAUAAAAUGACGGUACCUGAAGAAUAAGCUCCGGCUAACUACGUGCCAGCAGCCGCGGUAAUACGUAGGGAGCAAGCGUUGUCCGGAUUUACUGGGUGUAAAGGGCGUGCAGCCGGAGAGACAAGUCAGAUGUGAAAUCCACGGGCUCAACCCGUGAACUGCAUUUGAAACUGUUUGCCUUGAGUGUCGGAGAGGUAAUCGGAAUUCCUAGUGUAGCGGUGAAAUGCGUAGAUAUUAGGAAGAACACCAGUGGCGAAGGCGGAUUACUGGACGAUAACUGACGGUGAGGCGCGAAAGCGUGGGGAGCAAACAGGAUUAGAUACCCUUGUAGUC